UGGCGAACGGGUGAGUAACACGUGGGCAAUCUGCCCUGCACUCUGGGACAAGCCCUGGAAACGGGGUCUAAUACCGGAUACUGAUCCUCGCAGGCAUCUGCGAGGUUCGAAAGCUCCGGCGGUGCAGGAUGAGCCCGCGGCCUAUCAGCUUGUUGGUGAGGUAACGGCUCACCAAGGCGACGACGGGUAGCCGGCCUGAGAGGGCGACCGGCCACACUGGGACUGAGACACGGCCCAGACUCCUACGGGAGGCAGCAGUGGGGAAUAUUGCACAAUGGGCGAAAGCCUGAUGCAGCGACGCCGCGUGAGGGAUGACGGCCUUCGGGUUGUAAACCUCUUUCAGCAGGGAAGAAGCGAAAGUGACGGUACCUGCAGAAGAAGCGCCGGCUAACUACGUGCCAGCAGCCGCGGUAAUACGUAGGGCGCAAGCGUUGUCCGGAAUUAUUGGGCGUAAAGAGCUCGUAGGCGGCUUGUCACGUC
rnacentral:rRNA from 1 species